UUGGAGGGCAAGUCUGGUGCCAGCAGCCGCGGUAAUUCCAGCUCCAAUAGCGUAUAUUAAAGUUGUUGCAGUUAAAAAGCUCGUAGUUGAAUUUUGGGAUCUGGUUGGUGGUCUGCCCGUUGGGUACGUACUGUCUGGCCGGAUCUGACCUUCUGGUAACCAUAAUGUCAUUCAUUUGAUGUUUUGGGGAAUUAGGACUGUUACCUUGAAAAAAUUAGAGUGUUUAAAGCAGGCUAACGCUUGAAUACAUUAGCAUGGAAUAAUGAAAUAGGACAUCGCAUUCUAUUUUGUUGGUUUCUAGGAUCGAUGUAAUGAUUAAUAGGGAUAGUUGGGGGCAUUAGUAUUCAAUUGUCAGAGGUGAAAUUCUUGGAUUUAUUGAAGACUAACUACUGCGAAAGCAUUUGCCAAGGACGUUUUCAUUAAUCAAGAACGAAAGUUAGGGGAUCAAAGACGAUCAGAUACCGUCGUAGUCUUAACCAUAAACUAUGCCGACUAGGGAUCGGAUGAUGUUAAUUUUUUAAUGACUCAUUCGGCACCUUACGGGAAAC
rnacentral:rRNA from 1 species